rnacentral:tRNA from 1 species
AAAUUUAGGUUAAUAAAACCAGGGACCUUCAAAGCCCCAAACAGGACACNNACCCUAAUUUCUG